UUUCCCGUAGGGGUAACCUGCGGAGGGAUCAUUACUGAGUUCUAAACAAACUCCCAACCCUUUGUGAAUCGUAUUCUUGUUGCCUCGGCGCCGAGCGGCAGCUACCCGGGAGCUACCCUGGAGAGCCACCUACCCUGUAGGUGGCUACCCGGGAGAGCUACCCUGGAGCUGCACCUAACGCUCCGCCGGUGGACCACUAAACUCUUUGUUAUACACUGUAUCUCUGAGAACUUAACUAAAUGAGUUAAAACUUUCAACAACGGAUCUCUUGGUUCUGGCAUCGAUGAAGAACGCAGCGAAAUGCGAUAAGUAAUGUGAAUUGCAGAAUUCAGUGAAUCAUCGAAUCUUUGAACGCAUAUUGCGCCCAUUAGUAUUCUAGUGGGCAUGCCUAUUCGAGCGUCAUUUCAACCCUUAAGCCCCGUAGCUUAGCGUUGGGAAUCUACCCUGUAGAGGCGUAGUUCCUGAAAAGUAGUGGCAGUGUUCGGUACACUCUUAGCGUAGUAAUUUCUUCUCGCUUCUGCAGUGGACCGGACGAUUCGCCGUAAAACCCCCUAUACUUCUAGUGGUUGACCUCGGAUUAGGUAGGAAUACCCGCUGAACUUAAGCAUAUCAAUAAGCGGAGGAA
rnacentral:rRNA from 1 species